GACGAACGCUGGCGGCGUGCUUAACACAUGCAAGUCGAACGGAAAGGCCUGCUUUCCCUUGUGGAUUGCGGGUACUCGAGUGGCGAACGGGUGAGUAACACGUGAGUGAUCUGCCCCCAACUUGGGUAUAAGCCUGGGAAACUGGGUCUAAUUCCCGAUAGGACUGCAGGGUGGUGCCUGUGGUGGAAAACGAUUUUCUAGUGGUUGGGGAUGAGCUCGCGGCCUAUCAGCUUGUUGGUGGGGUAAUGGCCUACCAAGGCGGCGACGGGUAGCCGGCCUGGGAGGGUGGACGGCCACAUUGGGACUGAGAUACGGCCCAGACUCCUACGGGCGGCAGCAGUGGGGAAUAUUGCACAAUGGGCGGAAGCCUGAUGCAGCGACGCCGCGUGGGGGAUGACGGCCUUCGGGUUGUAAACUCCUUUCGACCGCGAGGAAGCCACCUGGUUGGAGGGGUGGUGACGGUAGUGGUAGAAGAAGCACCGGCUAACUACGUG
rnacentral:rRNA from 1 species